GGCGCGCACGGUUCGGAUUUCGAGAGCUCCCGUCCCUCGGGAGAGCGGCCCCAGGUGCCGACCCGGGCGCGCGAC
rnacentral:tRNA from 1 species